CGACCUUUGGGCCCGGGCACUUAUUGGGGCAGGAGAAGAGCCGCAGGCUCAGUAGUAGGCAGUCAGGUCUUAACCACGCCAAUAUCUCCGUAUCAUUUUUUUUUCUUUUUCUCGAUUCUUGCGAUUUCUCUCGUCAUCAUCCCUCGACACUUGUCCCUGGCUUCAACGACGAUUUACCAACAGGAGCAGGUCCGGAUUCGGGCCAGAACUCCAACAUCCAGCCCAGCGCCGUCAAGCAGUAGCCAGAAGGUGCAUAACAAAUAAUGUAUUAUCUAAACAAACCAUGACUGGAAAAACUUCAUGAAUUAAGGAAUCGUGAGAUGUAAGGUACGAACACACGAUUCCUACUUGAUUCUUCUUACAAGGAGCACCAGCCUCCCCUCUUCGGUCUGGUUUCAAUUUUGGAACACUUAAAAACAUCUUAAAACAAGUGAACAACUAUGAAGAAAGAAGAGAGGAAUAAACAUUGAUGAAAAAAUAACACAAACAAUUUUUUUUUAAAUACUUCGAAAAGUUUUUAAAACAACCACUAAUUAUAAAUAUUAAACAUAUCUUUUAGAUAUCGAGUAAAUAAG